AAAUCCGGUUGAUCCUGCCGGAGGCUACCGCUAUUGGAGUCCGAUUAAGACAUGCGAGUCGAGAGCUUUCGGAGCUCGGCAUACUGCUCAGUAACACGUGGGUAACCUGCCCUAUGCUGGGGGAUAACCUCGGGAAACUGAGAACAAUACCCCAUAGUCCACUACGCCUGGAACGGUGAGUGGAUGAAAGCCCCGGCGGCAUAGGAUGGGCCUGCGGCGUAUCAGGUUGUAGGGGGUGUAAUGUACCCUCUAGCCUUCGACGCGUACGGGUUGUGAGAGCAAUAGCCCGGAGAUGGAUUCUGAGACAAGAAUCCAGGUCCCACGGGACGCAGCAGUCGCGAAACCUUGACAAUGCGGGAAACCGUGAUCAGGGGACUCCAAGUGCCAGGAGUAAGAUCCUGUGCUUUUCAUCUCUCUUCAAAGGAUUUGGAAUAAGAGGUGGGUAAGGACGGUGCCAGCCGCCGCGGUAAUACCGGCGCCUCAAGUGGUAGUCGAUUUUAUUGGGCCUAAAACGUCCG
rnacentral:rRNA from 1 species